CUUGGAAACAGUUUGAUCUUUUCUACCCUUGUUUUUAGGCAUUGCUAGGUAGACCAGAGUAGUGUUAGUCAUGGGUUAAUUAUUCAUUACUACUGAAUCAAGACCCUUCAGAAUACCAUACUCAAUGCCACAUAAAUCUUGAGGUUUUCCAGUCUUCCUGGUGGAUGGCAGGCACUAUUCUCCCCAGUGAGUGCUCACUAGGUACAUUUUGGGUGGUCCUUUCUCUGGUCGUAGGUAGUAUCUUUACAUGAAUGCAUUUACCCAUACUCAGAAUGAGGGACAUUUUGUAGAAAUCUGAAGUUCUCUCUCUGCACAGCUCUUUCUUUUCUGGUAAUCUGUUCUGUGAACUCAAGCUGUUUUGGUCUCCUCAGACCCUCCAUUUCAUUUCCUCAGCUCAUAGAGUCUUCUACACUCCACCUGGGUUCCCCUCCCUGUUCUCUGGCCUGGAAACUCCCUUAAGGUAGUAAGGUAGAGGAAUCACAGAGUCCACAUCACUUGUUUCACAUAUCUGAGGGCUCAGUAUCCUGCAUUGCCUGGUGACUCAGUGUCUUAAAAACUAUUGUUCAUAUAUUUUGUUUAUUUUUUUGUUGUUUCAGGUGGAAGAGUAAACUGUUCCUGUUUCUCCAUCUUGACAGGAAGCAGAAGUUCUCCUUAGCUGAUUUUUCUUCUUGCCUUAUACUGGGUUCUUUAACACCAGAACAAAAAUAAAUAAAUAAAAGAAUCUUCCAGAAAUUCAUGAAGAGACUUCAGGUCAGGAAAGCCUGAACUUUCUCAUCCAACACCCGUUCAAGUCGGAGGAUGCUGAUUAAUUCAUGAUGGAAAGGUAUCAAUUUCACAGCCCAGACCUCUACAUUCUUGAAAUGCUCUUCUCAUGGGAGACAUUAAAUAAGCUUUGAAUUAACUGACCAAUCAUGAUCUUUAUAGAAAAAUUGGAAGGAAGUACAGAAACAUGUGAAUGGAAAAAUAUCCAACCCGAGCAGGAUAAAACUGAUCAUCCUGAGGAUAUUGCCCUUGGAGUUAAUUUUUUGAGAGAAAUAAAACAAUAAACAUCAUAAGACACAAACCCCAAGCAACUGAUCUCACUGUUAAAAUCCAACCUGAGAACAAUGGAAUGGAUUGCGCUCUCUAGAAGAAAAUUCUGAGAAAAAAAUUCAUAUGCAAGAAAUUUACUGGGGAGUGCUCUCAGACUCUGAACUGUGAAGAAAAAGGAUUGGACAGGGCUAGUAGAAGUCUAUAUGUUGUGGUGGAAAACAACCUCAGCCCUAUAGUCCAACAUUUGCCUAUCAAAACUUGUCCUAUGAUUUACAAAACUAGAACCUCACUGCCCCACCAAAAGAUGAAGUGGCCCCCAGACCCCAGGUCUAAU
rnacentral:lncRNA from 1 species